GACGAACCGUGCAAACGUUGUUCGGAAUCACUGGGCUUAAAGGGCGCGUAGGCGGGCCAGCCAGUCUGUGGUGAAAGCCUCCAGCUUAACUGGAGAAGUGCCGUGGAUACUGCUGGCCUCGAGGAGGGUAGGGGCAUCUGGAACGGUCGGUGUAGCGGUGGAAUGCGCAGAUAUCAGGAGGAACACCGGUGGCGAAGGCGGGUCUCUGGGCAGUAACUGACGCUGAGGAGCGAAAGCGUGGGGAGCGAACAGG
rnacentral:rRNA from 1 species